AUGAUGCACACAAAGUCUGGCUGCCCCAUCCUCUCACUCUCUGUCUCUCGCAAUAUGAUGAGUGAUGGCUAAUAUAGCUUAUUGAUGAGCAGUCAGGCAGGGCAGCAGGAGGAGGCGGGUGCUGCCUGGGACAGGAGAGGACAGGACUGCAGGAACAGAGGGAGGGAGGGAGAGAGUUGGAUGCUGUGUCGCAGUCUGCUCCUAGGCAUGAGGCUAGCUGCACGUCAUCCGGGUGUUGGAAGUACUUACAUCAAAUACAAGGUGUUGGAAGAACUGACAUCAUUUAGGCCUAUUGGGCGGAGGUGGCAAAAACAAGGACCUGCUGACCAGAGAAAGCCAUCAUGUCUCACAUGUUCCAUCAGACAUCUACAUGAUCCUUAAAAGAAAAUAGAGUAUUUCAGAACCCAACUACCAGCUUCUGUCUCUCUGGAGGAGGAAGAGCCCGAGGCUGAGCCGGCCCAGCUGUCUUCAGGGGAGAGUCUUUCUUUCCCUUUAUACUGACAAUAAAUAUGUACAACUGUU